rnacentral:rRNA from 1 species
GAUGAACGCUGGCGGUAUGCCUAACACAUGCAAGUCGUACGAGAGUUUUUAACUCUAGUGGCGGACGGGUGAGUAACACGUGAGAAUUUGCCUUUAGGAGGGGGAUAACAAUUGGAAACGAAUGCUAAUACCCCAUAUGCUUUUGAGUGAAACGGAUUUAUCCGCCUAGAGAGAAGCUCGCGGCUGAUUAGCUUGUUGGUAAGGUAAGAGCUUACCAAGGCGACGAUCAGUAUCUGGUUUGAGAGGAUGAUCAGUCACACUGGAACUGAGACACGGUCCAGACUCCUACGGGAGGCAGCAGUGGGGAAUAUUGCACAAUGGACGAAAGUCUGAUGCAGCAACGCCGCGUGGAGGAUGACACAUUUCGGUNCGUAAAACUCCUUUUAUAUAGGAAGAUAAUGACGGUACUAUAUGAAUAAGCAACCGGCUAACUCCGUG